rnacentral:pre_miRNA from 1 species
AGAGAAAUGAAGGGGCUCACUUCAGUCCAGUCGAGACGGUAGAAGAUGACUGAGACACAGCUGCUGACUCGUUGGUUCAAAAGCUCACCGUUGAACAAUUGUGUGCGCUUCUGAUCCAACGAAGCGGGAGCUGCAUUCCAGUUGUCACUGUCAUGUCUUGGACUGAAGGGGCCUCUUCAUGCAUCCAUC